rnacentral:rRNA from 1 species
CAGUCGCCGCGGGAAUACGUAGGGUGCGAGCGUUAAUCGGAAUUACUGGGCGUAAAGCGUGCGCAGGCGGUUCGUUAAGACAGAUGUGAAAUCCCCGGGCUUAACCUGGGAACUGCAUUUGUGACUGGCGAGCUAGAGUAUGGCAGAGGGGGGUGGAAUUCCACGUGUAGCAGUGAAGUGCGUAGAGAUGUGGAGGAAUACCGAUGGCGAAGGCAGCCCCCUGGGCCAAUACUGACGCUCAUGCACGAAAGCGUGGGGAGCAAACAGGAUUAGAUACCCCUGUAGUCCCUGUCUCUUAUAC